rnacentral:misc_RNA from 1 species
GAUGAAGAACGUAGCGAAAUGCGAUACUUGGUGUGAAUUGCAGAAUCCCGUGAACCAUCGAGUCUUUGAACGCAAGUUGCGCCCGAAGCCAUUAGGCCGAGGGCACGCCUGCCUGGGUGUCACACGUCGUUGCCCCCCCAUCUACUCCUUCGGGAUUGCGGGGGGCGGAUGAUGGCCUCCUGUGCGCCUCGUCGCGCGGUUGGCAUAAAUGCCAAGUCCUCGGCGACGCACGCCACGACAAUCGGUGGUUGCGAAACCUCGGUUGCCCGUCGUGUGCGGUCGUCGCGCAUCGAGGGCUCGAAAAAAUUGCCGGGCUCCGGCUCGGCUUUCAACGCGACCCCAGGUCAGGCGGGGUUACCCGCUGAAUUUAAGGAUAUCAAUAAGCGGAGGA